AUCUAGCUGACGAGUCCAAAUAGGACGAAGUAUCGCGCAUCCUGGAU
rnacentral:hammerhead_ribozyme from 1 species